UGAAAUAAUCAAUAAUAUAACGCAGUGAC
rnacentral:piRNA from 1 species